UCGCCCAACUCUGUUGGUUUGGACGUUUUGCAGCUUGACAGUCCAAUCUGACAAAAUGUCAAAACAAUCAGAAAACGCAGAUUGGACGUUUGGUAAAACAGGGAAAAUAAGUUGAUUUUUCAGUAUUUUUGUAAGUUUUAAAAUAAAACCGAGUUAAUGCAGGUUUCUUUGACCAAUCCGACAUUGUGCUGUUAUUGUUUGGUUUACAUGACAUCCGGGGAACAGAUUGUUCAACAACGAACAACCAUCGGGGGAUCUCAUCUGUGAUGAAUGCGGAUAGGGAUAUGUCCAAGAUAUACCAACGGUAUCGCAAGAUGCACUACGCCACAGUCAAGCUAUGUCACGAUUCCGGUUCUUAUUCUGAUGUGGAACACAGACAAACGGCACCAAUGCAACCACUGAGCAGCAAUCGGUCGAAGCUUCAA